CAGAAUCUAGGUCUUGGUAGCAUUUAUCUUUCUCCUUUUGUUCUAUCUUUGUUUCUUCCUGUACUUUUAAAUUGUGCUUCUGCAUCAGAUGCCAGAACUGAACACAAUAUUCCAGCAGCGGUCACACCAGUACCAAAUACAGAGAAAUUCUCUUCAACCCGACAUCUUCUACAGUAGCUUCAGAGACCAAGACCACAAGGACUAAAAGCAAUUUCAAAUAACAUUGAUGUUUGCAACUUUCCUUAAAGAACUGGAGUUUUCAUAUGAGCUGAAAAGCUCCUACAUUGUGGCUUGCAGAAUUAGGUAUGUUCUCCUAGAGAGGUUUUCCAUACAACCACCUCCAUGAGCAAG